rnacentral:rRNA from 1 species
UACGGGGGGGGCAAGCGUUGUUCGGAAUUACUGGGCGUAAAGGGCUCGUAGGUGGCCAACUAAGUCAGACGUGAAAUCCCUCGGCUUAACCGGGGAACUGCGUCUGAUACUGGAUGGCUUGAGUUCGGGAGAGGGAUGCGGAAUUCCAGGUGUAGCGGUGAAAUGCGUAGAUAUCUGGAGGAACACCAAUGGCGAAGGCAGCUCGCUGGAACGGUACUGACGCUGAGGCGCGAAAGCGUGGGGAGCGAACAGG